UUAUUUGAAUGCAUUAAGAUGUUCCAAACAAACAACAAAAGUGAGUGUUUGUGAGGGAUAGAAGUAAUUGUUACAUUAUUCUUAUUUAUUUUUACAUUAUUCUACGCAGAUGGAAACAGAACCAUAUGUUUUGUUUGUUUAAGCCCAUUACAAAAACGUUUGAUUUGAAGUUCCAGCCUCUUCCAACUUUGUUCCAAGUAUUGCUUUAAAAUGGUUUAUUGUACUUUUAUUUACUCUUUGACCAGGCACAUUGCUCACAGCCUAUCUCCUGGCCCUUGGAGGCAGCUUGGUGUGAAUGAUGUUCAGGAAAACAUGCUGCAGAUUAGAAGAUGGUGGUGUCUUGUUCUCCUGCAGAACUUCCCCAUGCUGAGAAUCCUUUGGUCAGGGAUGCAAUGGCGGCAGCCCGGUAGUGUGGGACCAGAACUUUCAAGGGAAAAAUUUCCCUUCCCCAAGUUGUUACCAUGGCCAAGGAGCAACGCGUGAGGGCAGUGGAACUCCUGUGUGUCUGUGAUGGCCAGGAAGAAGAGGAGACCGCUGAUCUCAGAGAAACCGUUCCUUUUUCUUUUUAGUCUGCAGGAAGACUAUGAGACAUUCUGUCAAGAAAUCAUUGACAGGAGAAACAUGAAGGUGUUUGUGCUUUUGACAGAAAAGAAUAAAGUUGUGUUCAACGGUG